UAUAUCAUUACAUAAAUACCUCCAUGCCAAUAAUCUUAGAUGACUGACACAGUGGGCAAAAACUAAGCUUACUUUCACAAGCUUUACAGAGGCAGAGAUGCUUACAAGGUAACAAAAGCAUGCAGGCUUCAUUCACUCUGCAAAUUUUACAAGUCAUCAACUCUUUCAUGUCACUGUUCUCCUUGCAGAGCAAAUGGAAAUCAAUGACCCGGCCAUUGCAGCAAGAAGCUGUAUCAUCAACCUCGCUAUCACCACAUCCUUCCUUACUAUCUCUACUUUGAGCGUAAACUUGCUGAAGACUAAACUUGAG
rnacentral:lncRNA from 1 species